UACGUAGGGUGCAAGCGUUGUCCGGAAUUAUUGGGCGUAAAGAGCUCGUAGGUGGCUCGUUGCGUCGGGAGUGAAAACCUGCGGCUUAACCGCAGGCCUGCUUCCGAUACGGGCGAGCUAGAGUUCCGGCAGGGGGAGACUGGAAUUCCCUGGUGUAGCGGGUGGAAUGCGCAGAUAUCAGGAGGAACGCCGGUGGCGAAGGCGGGUCUCUGGGCCGAUACUGACACUGAGAAGCGAAAGCGUGGGGAGCGAACAGG
rnacentral:rRNA from 1 species